UCAUCAUGCCCCUUAUGACCUGGGCUACACACGUGCUACAAUGGUUGGUACAACGAGUUGCGAGUCGGUGACGGCGAGCUAAUCUCUUAAAGCCAAUCUCAGUUCGGAUUGUAGGCUGCAACUCGCCUACCAUGAAGUCGGAAUCGCUAGUAAUCGCGGAUCAGCACGCCCGCGGUCGAAUACGUUCCGGGCCUU
rnacentral:rRNA from 1 species